AACGAACGCUGGCGGCAUGCCUAACACAUGCAAGUCGAACGAGACCUUCGGGUCUAGUGGCGCACGGGUGCGUAACGCGUGGGAACCUGCCCUUAGGUUCGGAAUAACUCCCCGAAAGGGGUGCUAAUACCGGAUAAUGUCUUCGGACCAAAGAUUUAUCGCCUUUGGAUGGGCCCGCGUUGGAUUAGCUAGUUGGUAGGGUAAAAGCCUACCAAGGCGACGAUCCAUAGCUGGUCUGAGAGGAUGAUCAGCCACACUGGGACUGAGACACGGCCCAGAAUCCUACGGGAGGCAGCAGUGGGGAAUAUUGGACAAUGGGCGAAAGCAUGAACCAGCAAUGCCGCGUGAGUGAUGAAGGCCUUAGGGUUGUAAAGCUCUUUUACCCGGGAUGAUAAUGACAGUACCGGGAGAAUAAGCUCCGGCUAACUACGUG
rnacentral:rRNA from 1 species